rnacentral:rRNA from 1 species
CAUAGCGACUAUCGUGGCAUAUCAAUAAGCGGAGGAAAAGAAACUAACUAAGGAUUCCCUCAGUAACGGCGAGUGAAGCGGGAAGAGCUCAAAUUUGAAAUCUUAAAGGGUUUCCCUUUACGAAUUGUAGUUUAAAGAAGUGUUUUCUGUUGGAGUUUCGGUAAAAGUUCUUUGGAAUAGGACAUCAUAGAGGGUGAGAAUCCCGUAUUUGACCGUUACUUUCCAGCUGUGUGAUACACUUUCAAAGAGUCGGAUUGUUUGGGAAUGCAGUCCAAAAUGGGUGGUAAAUUUCAUCUAAAGCUAAAUAUUGGCGAGAGACCGAUAGCGAACAAGUACCGUGAGGGAAAGAUGAAAAGAACUUUGAAAAGAGAGUUAAACAGUACGUGAAAUUGUCAAAAGGGAAGCGUUUGACACCAGUGUUGUUUAGUUGAAAAUCAAUUCAAUAAUUUUUGAUUUUGAGUAGUAUUGACUUCAUCAGCUUGCUGCUUUCUUUUCGGAAAUUAUUGAAUGCACUUUUCAGUUAACAAGUCAACAUCAAUUUCUUUUGUUGUAAAAGGGUAAGAGGAAGGUGGCUUACGCUUCGGCGUAAGUGUUUAUAGCCUUUUACCUCUGCAAUCGGAGAGAUUGAGGACAGCAGCGUAGACUCUUCGGGGUUAGAUACACUUGUGCUAAGCUAUAGCCUUGUAUAGACAACUUGUUGACUAUGCUCAGUCAUGUAGCUUACUCGCUUGUGCUAUUUUACCUACGCUUAGGAUGUUGAUAGUCACAGCGUGUAC